GAAAUGCGAUAAGUAAUGUGAAUUGCAGAAUUCAGUGAAUCAUCGAAUCUUUGAACGCACAUUGCGCCCGUUAGCAUUCUAGCGGGCAUGCCUGUCCGAGCGUCAUUUCAACCCUCAGGGCCCCCCGUUCCGGCGGGCGGACCUGGCGUUGGGGAUCGGCCCGCCCCGUGCGGCGCCGUCCCCCAAAUACAGUGGCGGUCCCGCCGCAGCCUCCCCUGCGUAGUAGUUUACAACCUCGCAUCGGAGCGCGGCGCGGCCACGCCGUAAAACCCCCGACUUUCUGAACGUUGACCUCGGAUCAGGUAGGAAUACCCGCUGAGCUUAAGA
rnacentral:misc_RNA from 1 species